UACGGGGGGGGUAAGCGUUGUUCGGAAUUACUGGGCGUAAAGGGCUCGUAGGCGGCCAACUAAGUCAGACGUGAAAUCCCUCGGCUUAACCGGGGAACUGCGUCUGAUACUGGUUGGCUUGAGUGCAGGAGAGGAACGCGGAAUUCCAGGUGUAGCGGUGAAAUGCGUAGAUAUCUGGAGGAACACCGGUGGCGAAGGCGGCGUUCUGGACUGCAACUGACACUGAGGAACGAAAGCCAGGGGAGCAAACGGG
rnacentral:rRNA from 1 species